AUGUUUGGCACAACCUUCUGCCAGAUGGAAAACCGUCUGCUGAUGAGUCUUACGGCGCUUCUGCUCAUUGAUGCUGGACUAGGAAUUACAGAUCUAAACACAACCAACAACUCUGAAAACAACUCAGCUAAUGUAAGCAAAACAAUACCUACAACACUAAUGGUCCCACAGAUUACAUGUCCGAAAACUGUUGAAAGGAUCACUGAGACAGUAAUGGCCUGGCUGAAAGUAAAAGGAAAGAGUCCGUGUGAGGGUCGGGUGUAUGUCUAUUCCGCUACUCUCGGUGAAAAGCCUUUGUGCUGCUCAAGUCACAAAAGAACCAGCUUGUUGCGUGGACUGUGUAAGGACAUGCGGUGUGGAGACUUGAACUCUGUUACUAACUUUAAUGAAUACAAUUCUGGGAUUGAGCUCACAAGCAAUAUGACGUUGAACAUCACUCAGUGCUCAGGCCUGAGUAUAAGCUGCACAGGUAUGUCUGCAUACUCAUUUAAUAGGAAUCUGUGUUGGAAUGUUCCUCUUGAUAUUAUAUUUACUGUAAAAAAAAGAAGUCUGUAAAUAAGCAGUUUUGCGUAGGUUUGUGAUUUAUGUUUUUCUUCCCUGAUUUAUUUCUGCUUUUCAAUUGCAUUAUGAUAGCUUGAUCCUUCUUUCAUUAACUUUAAACCUUAAAAAUUUUAAAUAAGUGACUUUUAUGAAAACUUUUAAUAGUUUAAAGUCAUAUAUUGUCUGGGUAGGGGUUGUAUAUUAUGGCACAAAAAUCUUGUAAUAAACUACCAGUACAUUUUCUUUCAUUUUACAGACUUAUUUCUCCCUAUAUUACUUCUUAUACAUCGU
rnacentral:lncRNA from 1 species